AUGGCAGCUCCCAGAGCACUCGUCCUCGGCGUCCUGCUGGUGAUCGCCGUCGCCAACGCCGAGGCGGCGUCCGUCGUCGUCGGCCUGGCCAAGUGCGCCGACUGCACCAGGAAGAACAUGAAGGCUGAGGAAGCCUUCAAGGGUCUUCAGGUGGCGAUCAAGUGCAAGAACGUCCACGGCGACUACGAGAGCAAGGCGGUGGGUGCCCUCGACGGCACCGGCGCCUUCAGCGUGCCCCUGGCCGCCGACCUCCACGGCGCCGACUGCGUCGCUCAGCUCCACAGCGCUGCCUCCAACACGCCGUGCCUCGGCCAGGAGCCAUCCAAGAUCGCGCCGGUGUCCGAGGGCACCACCUUCGUCGCGGGGGCCAAGACCAACGCGUUGGCAUCGCCGGAGUGCACGUCAGCGACCCUGCUCGGGCCGAUCAAGAAGCACAUCAUGGAGCACUUCCACCACAAGAAGCCCGUGCCGCCCAAGCCGGAGCCCAAGCCGCAGCCUCACCCUGACUACGGCCCUGUGCCCAAGCCCGAGCCGAAGCCGCAGCCCCACCCGGACUACCACCCCGUCCCUCCCAUGCCCACCUACGGCGGCGGCGGCGGCGGUGGAUACCACGGACACCACUGA
rnacentral:rRNA from 1 species